rnacentral:miRNA from 1 species
AGAGGUAGGCAGAUCUCUGUGAGUUCAAGGCCAGCCUGGUCUACAGAGUGAGUUUCAGGGCAGCCAGGACUACACAGAGAAAUUCUGUCUCAGGAA